rnacentral:rRNA from 1 species
AUGUUUUGUGAAUUUAUUAGGCAAUCGAGGAAUUGGAAUUCUGCCAAGAAAUCUAGGAGCAGAAGAAGAUGUAUGCAAGGGACUUGGAGACGAGGCAAUGGUGCGCAGGCGAGAAAAUUAUGUUCUGAUUGGUUAGGAUUGGGGUUCGACUGCUCUUGUGUUUAUUAUAUCAAAGUUGGUUGCAUGAGUCACUUCACGAUGGUCANNNNNNNNNNUUUUUUUUUUGGUUCACGUUUUGUUACUGUUUUCCAUUCGGGAUUUCAUGGUGAGCAAACCUACCAUUUGCAGUUGUUUGUUUCAGAAAUUCAUGUCCUGACUUCAAAUUUUGGUCGUAAGGUAAAUCCUGCCAACAAGUCGAUGCUAUGGGUUUACUAG